rnacentral:rRNA from 1 species
CUACGGGUUGCAGCAGUGGGGAAUAUUGCACAAUGGGCGCAAGCCUGAUGCAGCAACGCCGCGUGAGGGAUGAAGGCCUUCGGGUUGUAAAUCUCUUUUAGCAGGGAAGAAGCGAAAGUGACGGUACCUGCAGAAAAAGCACCGGCUAACUACGUGCCAGCAGCCGCGGGAAUACGUAGGGUGCAAGCGUUGUCCGGAAUUAUUGGGCGUAAAGAGCUCGUAGGCGGUUUGUCACGUCUGCUGUGAAAAUCCAAGGCUCAACCUUGGACUUGCAGUGGGUACGGGCAGGCUAGAGUGCGGUAGGGGAGAUGGGAAUUCCUGGUGUAGCGGUGAAAUGCGCAGAUAUCAGGAGGAACACCAAUGGCGAAGGCACAUCUCUGGGCCGUAACUGAUGCUGAGGAGCGAAAGCGUGGGGAGCGAACAGGAUUAGAUACCCUGGUAGUC